rnacentral:rRNA from 1 species
AUUGAACGCUGGCGGCAUGCUUUACACAUGCAAGUCGAACGGUAACAGGGUGCUUGCACCGCUGACGAGUGGCGAACGGAUGAGUAAUGCGUCGGAACGUGCCGAGUAGUGGGGGAUAACGCAGCGAAAGGUGUGCUAAUACCGCAUACGUACUGAGGUAGAAAGUGGGGGACCUUCGGGCCUCACGCUAUUCGAGCGGCCGACGUCUGAUUAGCUAGUAGGUGAGGUAAAGGCUCACCUAGGCGACGAUCAGUAGCGGGUCUGAGAGGAUAAUCCGCCACACUGGGACUGAGACACGGCCCAGACUCCUACGGGAGGCAGCAGUGGGGAAUUUUGGACAAUGGGCGAAAGCCUGAUCCAGCCAUGCCGCGUGUCUGAAGAAGGCCUUCGGGUUGUAAAGGACUUUUGUCAGGGAGGAAAUCCCUAGUGCUAAUAACACUGGGGGAUGACAGUACCUGAAGAAUAAGCACCGGCUAACUACGUGCCAGCCGCCGCAGUAA